rnacentral:sRNA from 1 species
CUAACUCUGCAACAGUUAUAUUUAGACAAGGAUAAUCUUCACCGGCUGCCAUCCAUCGCUACACAAACAGGCUUUGAAACACUCUGUAGCCUAUUUUGUGUUGUCUUUUGUAAUUGAUGUUUUAAUGAGGGUUAGGAAACUUCAGUGCAAUAUGGAAUGAAGAACAAUCAUUGUUAUUGUAAUAACAACAGUAACAUAGCCACAGAAAGUCAAGUCCCCACCAAGUGCUGGGCUGCUGCACUUCCAAGCGCUUUACAAACAUUUUUGGGCUUGUUUUUCACAGCAGCACUGAGAAGUCAAUCCUUCUAUGCCUGUUUUAUGGAUAAGACUAGUUUGGGGCUCAAGCUCAAAGAAACCCACCAAGGAAGGAGCAGAGUAGAUCAGGGAUUUUAUGAUCCUUUAGGCCAAUUUGGGGUCCCUGUGGCCCUCCUUGGUUUCACUGCAGAUCUCCAAACCCUGGAUGCCUAUGCAUCCACAGCUCAGAGAAAUUGGCAGGCCCCAAGGUACAGUUCACCCUUUCCCAGCAGCUCAGCUCACCCACAGGGCCAAGGACCCCCCAAAAGAGGACAGUGGGAGUGAACUGCAGCAAUAGCUCAUGGCCCAAAAGCCAGAUUCUCCAGCUUGGUUCAUAGUUACAUUAUAGGCCAUUUUAUUCCUUUAUAGUAAGUAGAUCUUUUCAUUUUAUCAGCCAUUUUUGGAUCAACAUACUUGUAUGAUGUAGUCAUUUAACAGACUCAGAAUUAACCGCUUACCAGGCCUGACAAUGCUCAGAUCAGGUAGUCAUGGUCAUUUUUUUAAAAAUGGUUUCAAGUGUUCCUCAAGUAAAGUCAAAAUGGUUUAGAAAUAUUUGACCAGAUUAUCCCAGUGCUGAGACUGACAGAUGCUCUUGUAAACACCCUUCACCCUUCUCCACCGUCUCGAUAUAAUUAAAUAAGUUACAGCAAGUCUCCUUUACUUCCCUUGUGCUCCCUUUACAGAAUAGAGGUAAUUCUCCAAAUACAGAAUGAUUUUAAGGAUUGUACAGGAGUUCAUUCCAUCUCUAAAGUUAAGCAUCCAGAAUUAUUUCAUAAUUCAUUUUCACAGCAUCCCUGUGUUCAGAUUGAAAUAUCUCAUUUACUCCAGGUCCCACGAACCAGAGAACACCCAGGACUCAUCUGAAGGACUCUAGUCAACCAAUGCGUGUUUACAGUUGCUGAGGGGAAAGAAUAAGGGUCAAAUUGCUCUAUUUAAUAAAAUGUUUAAUACAGUGUCUUCCACUGAAAGGGAACUGACCCUGGCAGUAGCUGAUGAAAACUGGAAUCUGCAUUCUGAUUCCAGAUGUAAAAAUAAUGUGAGAAAUUAACUUUAUAUCUAAAAAAAAGUUAAACUACUUAUCCAAAUUACUUGGGAAAUACAAUAUUCUGAUGAGAAGAGAUGCCAUUAUACACCUUAUGAAAAUUUCCAGUGUUGAAAGAUUGUCAACAUCUUUACAGGUACCACAUUAAAACUAUACUGACGGUGGUUUUGUGUUUCUCCUUGUUAAUUUGCAGGGCACUUGUGGAUCUAUAGACCUCAGGGUCAUUGAUAUGUAUGGCUUAUGGUUGAAAAUUCUCUAGAGGAAAGCAUUUAGUUACUUGGCUUCGGUUCAUUUGAGUUACAAAUAAGCUAGAGUAGACUUCUGUGUAUUCCUUUCUUGAUGAGAUGCAACUUUCAACCGAGAGGGAAACUGGCACUGAUUUCUCUGUGGUAACCCUUGUUCUCUGUGUCUUUUCUGGAUACAACAGUUCUGUGGAAGCAAAUCAUUGAACGCAAUGGAGGAGUCCUCACCAGUGCCUUGAAUGUCAGCUGCCUGGCGAAGGUCACUGACGGCUUCACCCAAGGACAUAUAGUCGAAGUGGUUAAAGGCGUGCUCACAGAUCAGAGAAUCCGGCGGCAAAUUCAUAAACCUCUCACUGCAGUUGAGUUUAUUACAGCGAUAACCAGCAUGAAUCCAGUGUACAAAGAGGAAGAAGAGAGCUUCAAGAACUGGUAUGCCAAAACUCCUCUGGGUAAAAAACGUGCCUUGGCGAUAACAGGAGGCAGCACAGAAAAGGCAAAGGACAAAGGGAAAAGGAAAUAAAAGAAAGAGAAAAAGGC